AUACGUAGGGGGCGAGCGUUGUCCGGAAUGAUUGGGCGUAAAGGGCGCGUAGGCGGCCCGGUAAGUCUGGAGUGAAAGUCCUGUUUUUAAGAUGGGAAUUGCUUUGGAUACUGUCGGGCUUGAGUGCAGGAGAGGUAAGUGGAAUUCCCAGUGUAGCGGUGAAAUGCGUAGGGAUUGGGAGGAACACCAGUGGCGAAGGCGACUUACUGGGCUGUAACUGACGCUGAGGCGCGAAAGUGUGGGGAGCAAACAGGAUUAGAUACCCAGGUAGUCCACACUGUAAACGAUGAAUGCUAGGUGUAGGGGGUAUCGACCCCUUCUGUGCCGCAGUCAACACAAUAAGCAUUCCGCCUGGGGAGUACGGCCGCAAGGUUGAAACUCAAAUGAAUUGACGGGG
rnacentral:rRNA from 1 species